rnacentral:lncRNA from 1 species
AAGUCUAUCAAACAUAAUGGAACAAAAAAAAUUCUUUACAGAUCCAGGUAUUAAGAAAUCAAUAGGAUAUUUGAUCUUACCACACAAUACUUCAACAUCUCUUACAAUCCUAAUCAGUGAAAUGGUAUCCCUACUUGCAAGCUUAAUAGUGACAUCUAUCUCUUCUAUCUCAACAAGUUAAAUAUCAUGUAUAACUUCUUGAUAGAGAGAAAUGAAUAACACUUAUGCUAGCACCAAUAUCACAUAAACCACGAUAAAAAUGAUCUCCAAUCUUAAGAGAAACAACAUGCAUGCCAAUAACCCUUUUAUUUUUUAUCCGGGUAGUAAAAAGUCUUGUUUUCAUUAUAGGACAAAUCGAUCCAACAUUUAUUUUCUCAAAUGGCCACUAGCCAAACUAUUGUGUUGUACAAUACAUGUAUCCUUUAAUGUUUGUCCUUCUAAUAGCAUCUCCAGUUCAUUUGAGACAUGGUUAAACAAGGUAGAGCGACAACAACACAUACUAGAACCGGAGUGUGUCCAUUACUUGGGGGUCUAUGGAAUUGUCGGAAUGACGUUACAUCUGACACACACAACAUCAUAAUUUUUUUUGCAGAUCCUCUUCCGGGCAUGUGGAUGGAUCCAUAUGUGGUCAUUGCUCAGUUCUCCAGAAGUCACACAACAUAUGACUCACUAGUGCAACCGCUUGGAGACGAUAGCAUGGGAUACAUAUAAUUGGUUUGGUUGGUGGUUUAAUAAUAGAAUAUGUGUUUAGUAGUAUUCACCUAUUUUUGCUCGUUACGUCAUUUUAUUUCUUUUUGUCCGACUUUACUUGUGAACUUGUAUUGAACUACGAAAAAUUCAUAGAUGCACCUAAAAUCACUCCCAUCAAGUUAUCUAGGGAUCCGUAAUGUUUGUUGUAUUACGAGGUGUAUCUCCUUUGUAUGUUGCUUUGAAUAGAAAUCUGC